rnacentral:rRNA from 1 species
AUUGAACGCUGGCGGCAUGCCUUACACAUGCAAGUCGAACGGCAGCACGGGAGCAAUCCUGGUGGCGAGUGGCGAACGGGUGAGUAAUGUAUCGGAACGUACCUUUCAGUGGGGGAUAACGUAGCGAAAGUUACGCUAAUACCGCAUAUUCUGUGAGCAGGAAAGCGAGGGGAUCGCAAGACCUUGCGCUGAUUGAGCGGCCGAUAUCAGAUUAGCUAGUUGGUGAGGUAAAGGCUCACCAAGGCGACGAUCCGUAGCGGGUCUGAGAGGACGACCCGCCACACUGGAACUGAGACACGGUCCAGACUCCUACGGGAGGCAGCAGUGGGGAAUUUUGGACAAGUGGGGCAACCCUGAUCCAGCCAUUCCGCGUGAGUGAAGAAGGCC